UGCGCCGGCGGACAGUUGCAACUUUUGCAGCGACUGACGCCCAGCUGCCGUUUCUCCCUCCACCGGCUCCCGGACUACAUUCCUCCUUCCUGCGUGUCAUCCCUCCAUUCACCCCCCGCGGUGCGCUGCUUUCCCCACUUUCCUUAUUUCCUCUCCUCUGUCGUUGAGCCCUGCACUUUCCCUGAGACGGAGAGAGAGAGAGAGAGAGAGAGAGAGAGAGAGAGAGAGAGAGAGAGAGAGAGAGAGAGGGGGAGAGGGGCUUGUGUAAUCUCUGGCUGCACAGUUAUUGCUUCAGCUGGAAAAGGGCACCGGGGACGCGUAAAGGACACGCUUUGGAAGGAGAGCAGGAGAAGGUGAAGUAAGGCCGGCGGACGCGGACGGACGGAGUUUGGAGUCGGGGAGCAGGACGCGGACCAUGUCGGGCUCUGCGCUGCUGCUGCUGUCCCUGCUGUCCCUGCUGCUGCUGUCCGCGGGGAGCGACAGCAGCAGAAUCAGGAAAAGAGGACUCAACCAUAAGGACUACGAGUACCCCAACCACCCCCAGUCCACGCAGCAGCAGAAGAACGACCGGUGUCCACCGCCACCCCAGAUGCUGCCGGAGAAAGCCUGCGAGGUGCCGGGCUGCCGCUCGGACUCGGAGUGCGAGCGCCACAAACGCUGCUGCUACAACGGAUGCAUCUACGCCUGCCUGGAGUCCGUCCAGCCUCCACCAGUGCUGGACUGGCUGGUGCAGCCCAAGCCUCGGUGGUUGGGGGGCAACGGCUGGCUGUUAGACGGCCCGGAGGAGGUUCUGCAGGCUGAGGCCUGCAGCACGACCGAGGAUGGAGACGAGCCUCUUCAUUGUCCCACGGGCUACGAGUGCCACAUCAUUAAUCCAGGAAACCCUGCCGCUGGCAUCCCAAACCGGGGACAGUGUAUCAAGCAACGUGGCAACUCUGAAGGACGUCUCAGGCACAAAUACUCCAAGGAUUACAAGGACUACUUGGGUAAGUGAGGUACCAGCUCGAGCAACGGAGUGGACUACGAAAAAAGUCAUCACAAGCACCUGGGAUAAAAUCGGCCCGACCUCAGGCUCACCCGCGGCCUUAACACAACCCGAGACAUCACCCCAGUCCUGUUCGAUCCGCUCUCAUCACCGGAUCCCAUCUGACCUUUCACCAGACCUCCAGCGGCUACCUCCUCCUCCCUAAAGCCCCGUCGUGCAGCCUGUCCUCACACCGUCUUUUGGUCUCCCUGUCUGUGAGAGAAUGUAGCAGUUGAUGGUGAAGCAGCGCAGUUCACCGAAGCUGCCCGUCAUGUAUUAGAAGAAAAUAAGGAGCCCGCGGUAUUUCUUAACAACCCUCCCCGUUCCCUGCAGCUCAUUGUUAUUCGCACACACUCUCUAACCUUCGAGGCCGGCCAGCGGGGAAAAUCACGCCCAUGUGGCUGUGAUUCAUAUUUUGUCUCUCUUGUUCUCAGGAAAACGGUGCUCAAAUUUCCUGAUCUGAAAUCUGGAAGGUUUUAAAGACUUUAAACAUUAAAAAAGAAAAAAAGAAAAAGUCCAGCUGCUGUGGUUCUCUUCUUUGAAUCUCAUCCAAGUGGGGUUUAAUGUUAAAAAAUAUAACUCAAGUAAAAUAAUAAGUGCCAUAUGAGUGUGGGGAUAGUGUUGGUUUUAAAGGAUUUUGGAACAGCUGUAGAUUAGUUCAAGCCAAUAAAUUCAGAGUGUGAUUUCAUCUCUAAAAAGGAUUAAAGCAAAUUAAAAAGGUUUAUUUGAAAGGGAGAUGAAUAUUUAACAAACAUUUGAUAGUUUAAAGAUUUGGGGGGUUCAAUUAAAAUUAAAUUUUCCAAUUAUUCCUGAAAUAAAUAAAACAAAUCAAUUAUGUAACAGCAGUAUGAUUGUUGAAACAUUUCAUACUUUUCAGUAAAAAUACUGCCUGCUUUCAAAAUAACAGUCUCUUUGUUGAGACAAGUCUGCAUUGCAACAUGGGUUGUGAAAAUAACCCAUGUUGCAAUGCAGACUUGUCAAAAGAUCCUCUGUGUCAUUUUCAAACAUGGCUGGCUUUAGUCAACCUUAGGUUGUCUCUACUGUCUACUCAAAUGGUGCUCAGUUUCAUUGCUGUUUGAAGUAACAGGAGAAUAGGCAGGUCACACGAUAAGCUGAAAGGUGUCAAACAAAAGGCUUUGUGUAUGUGCAGAGCUAGAGUGAUGUCUGAAUCUCGUUGUUUGACUGGUGCAAUUUUGACUUGUGAAAUAUACAUAAACCACAUUGUUGAAAUAAACCAGAGUUUUGUCAUUCUGUUUUUAUACAAGGGAUCUUAAAUCUCAAGGAAAAAGUUUGUAAUACUGAUGAAAAAGCAUUGAGAGGUCAAGUAAAGUUAGUCUUUAAAUGGUUGUUGUUUUUUCUUUUGCUUUUAUAUUUAAAUUCCCCUUUGCAUAGGCUCAUAUGCAUUAUUAUUCAUUCAUUAUUAUUAUUAUUAUUAUUACAAUGAAAGGUGUACAAUGAAAGGUGUACGCUUUGAGGCAAUUGCCGUCUUUGGAUUAUCUGAUUUAAGAUUUAGAGGCCUGCACCGUUUAACUACAAUGAGCUCAUUAAUGCAACCUGAAAACAUGCAGUAGAUUGUAUUCUUAUUCGUUUGCAGACGAUACUUUUACUAAAAUGUGUUAGUGACAGUUCUGUAUGUAGUAGGUACAACAUCAGUCAUUAGGAGAGAUAUUACAAUACAGAAACAAAUGCCCAAUAAAAAAUGCCCGGUGUA